AGCCCCUCCCAACUGGACCUCUCCUGGGACAGCAUGUGCUCUGCAUGGAAUAACAAGGUUAAAUGGACAAGGCUGAAUGGCCCUGUGAUGGGGAGUGCCUUUAAGCCACAUGACGGAAAUGAAACAGGAGCCAUAAUGACCAUGACUGGAGGAGAAUCAGAUUCUGGCCUGGCCUGGUUCUGUGAGAUACCUUAAAUCAUACUUUCUGUAGCAUCCCUUAAAGGUGGGUAGAGAGAAGGAGAGAGUUAAGUGUGGGUGCAGUCAUCCUCAGGAUGGUUGAUCUCUAAAUCUAUUCUUGGGCAAAAGUUUAGAGAAAAGCUGAAUCACUCAGCCCAGAGGAAGCCUGAGGAGGCAUAAAGAAGUCUUGGAAAUCCCCUGAAAAAAAGAAUCAGAUAUCACCUCCAUAGGAAGCUGUCUCUCUGCUUUAGAGCAAGAAUCAACAAACUUUUUCUGUAAAGAGCCAGAUAUCUGAGUCUUCUCAGAAGCAGAUGUCAAGACAAGAUUAUACACUCAAGAUAUAUUGGGUAACAUCUGUGAAACAUAAUGGAGAAGAAACAGGAGAAAGCAGGGAGAACUUUUGCACCAUGAUGCAGGACUGGCACCUCAGAAGGAGAGUGGGAAGGAAAGAGGAUUGAGUAGGAAAAGCCUUAAAUUUCAGCACCAUUCUAAGAAAGCUUCAGCAAGACUAUUGGGUAAUCCUUGAGCCAGUGACCAGUUGAGAGUUCUACACGUCACAGUAAUGAACUUGCAUUAGUGCCUCCAUGGUGCUUUUAAUCAUCGGCUGGCUGCCACCUGGGAAACUUGGCCUUUGUGGAUCCAGAGGGUCACCAAUUGGUAUCAUGACUCAUUUAUGCUCCCCACAGAUGAGAUCUGACCAUUUCAUGGCCUCCAACCCUUGGUCAAGUUGAGUAUCAGAUUAUAUGAUAUUGUCUGUUUGCACUUCAUAUUCUGUAAAUUUUCUAUGCAUUUUCUUUUCCCAGAUUUCUAUUAGAUUGACUUUUUUCUUUCAAAUUCAUAAGAGCUUUGUUUGUGUAUAAAAACACAAACUCCAUAUUUUGUCAUAUAUACCACAAAUAUUUUCUCUCAGCUUACCAUUUAUCUUUAGAUUUUGUAUGUGUGGUAUUUUUUUUGUUUUACAACUUCUUAACAUUUUGAGCUGUUUAAAUAUGUUUCCCUAACUUUUCCCCCUAAAUCAUGCAUUAUACAAAAUAUUCUCUUAAAUUUUCUUCUAAUGUCUUACAGUUUUGUUUACACUUAUAUCUGUAAUUCAUUUAGAUUUUUUUUUUUUUUUGGUGUAUGUAUACCCAAUAAAGUAGGAGCUUGAAUUUGUUUUCUUCUAGCUGGAUAGCCAGCAUAUGAGUAUUACUCAUUAAAAUAUCACUCUUUUCCCAUGGUAUUGGAAUGCCAUCUUUAUUCUGGUUAAGCUGAGAUUCCCUAGGAACAUGUAAUUUUGAUAUCCUUUAGUACAAAUAUUCAUUUCAGUGCCUGGAAGAGAACAAAACAUUCAGCUCUUUCUGAGAAAACAAAUGAUACUAGGUUGAUACUUGUGUGAAGCAAGUGCCAAUUCAAGCGUUAGUAUAAGAUUGCCAGGCUUAAUAUAGGUACUGUUUCUAUUUUUUUUAAAAAGAAAGGAAAAAGAAAGUAAAAGUUCUGCGUCCAAGUGGUGUCACAAUGAUGAUUUUAAUGUUAAAUUUGACUAUAUGGUUUUUUAGAAAAGACGGGAAGAAUUGUAGCCAAAAUAUAUGGGAUGGUGUAAGUUCUCGGCUAAAGAAAGUUUUUAACGUGUUUGCUACUUCAAAAAUGUAAAUAUUCUAAUAAUUAGUUUAUGAAAAAUUAGAUAACUAUAGUAAUAUAUAAAUUCCCUCCUUACUGAAACAGUGAUCUGGUUCUGAUCGUGGGUUUAUUAUUUACUAGUCAUAUAACUUCAUGCAAAUGUUAGCUUUUUUUUUUUUUUUUUUUUUUUGAGACGGAAUCUUGCUCUGUUGCCAGGCUGGAGUGCAGUGGCAUGAUCUCGACUCACUGCAACCUCCGCCUCCCUGGUUCAAGCGAUUCUCCUGCCUCAGCCUCCCGAGUAGCUGGGACUACAGGCACACACCGCCACACCCAGCUGAUUUUUGUAUUUUUAGUAGAGACGGGGUUUCACCAUGUUGGCCAGGAUGGUCUUGAUCUCUUGACCUCGUGAUCCACCCACCUUGGCCUCCCAAAGUGCUGGGAUUAUAGGUGUGAGCCACUGCUCCCAGCCAAAUUUUAGGUUUUCUAAAACUCAAAUUUGAAUAGUCAAUUGUGAUGAAUGGUAACUGUAAUGUCAUCAAUAAAAUCUCCCUAUGCUAAAUCUUUUGAUCCUAAGUGCUUAGAUGAUAUACUUAAUCAUGCCAUUUAUAAAUUCUUAGACUUCUGAGCCAAUGAUGAGUUAACUAUGCUAACUCCUACAUCAAUCUGCAGAGGCAAGUAAAUGCUGACAACACUACCUACCCAAUACUAAAUUUGGAUAUUAGUCUCUAAAUGUUUUCCCCAAAUUUUGGCUAUUGCUGGAGAAGCAAUUUUCUCACCAGUGGAAUGAUCACUCUUGAAAGCAAUGCACACUUAAUUAACUGAGUAUGAAGGAGCAACCUUUUCAAGGAAAUCCCUAGGGAUGGGUUAUUUUCCUAACAAGUAGAGAUCAGGUAAUGAUGGUUUCUCUACUCACUGGAAGACACUUGGCCAAAUGAAAACUUGGAAGUUGUGGUUUGCAAGGGGUGUGUGCAAAUCUCAGUGUAAUAGAUCCUCAUCUGGGUAUCUGAACAUAGCAUGACUACCAGUAUAAUUGUUUUGUGGGUGAAAAUACAAAGAUAUAUAUCUUAGCAACAAACAGGAGCUCGGGGAAAAUCAGGCUAAACCCUGAAAUGGCACAACCCUGAAUGUUGAUGUCAUUCCUAAAAAGCAUUUUAGUAUUCUCUUUAAAGCUACACACAAAUGCUGCCUGAAAGUUUCAUGAAUGCAACUCUCUCUCAUGUGCUCCUGGCCUGUUAUUGAACUAAUGCCACAGCUUAGGAGCCUAAGUACCUUUGAAUGUUUGAAGAAAAUAGGGAUUUUCUAGUAUUAGAAAGGAGAACUUAGCCCUUUGAAAGUGGUAAUGACUAUCAUUUCAAACUUAAUUAUUUACAUGCUUUAUUCACUGUUAAUUUUCAAUCCAAACCAUGCCAUGGUAAAUGGAGAACAAAAUUCAAAAUCAGACUCUUUUUUUUUUUUUUUUUUAGGGCUAUGUGUUUUGGGGAUCUAACACAAAAUGAUAUUUACAUGUUGUAUUAUGCUGGUGACAUACAUUGUCUCACAGGGAUCAUUUUUCCUGGCUAUUCUUUUCAUUUUUGGUGUUUCUUACAAAAUUUUUCAGGUAAAGAUCAUUUAUGUAUGGAAACUUGACUUUGUAGCCGCCUCAAUUUUAGGUAGAGUAAAUGUAUAUUUCUGCCAAUCAAAACAUUCUCUUCUCAUCACUUAAAUACUUUGCAAUUUUCUAUAAGCAGCUUCAUAUGUACCCUUACUUUGUGAUUUAGCAAAAUUUGCACACAGCAAUUAGACCUGACAGGCCAUAUUUAUAUAAUAAAGUGUUACUUAGCAGUUACAAUAAUAUCAGAGAGUAGGAGAGAGGAGUGUUAAACCAACCUCUGAAAAAUUGGGGUUGGCAAAAUAUUUGGAAAUUUUAUUGUUAAUAUGUUUGGCUGGUCCAGUAUUUGUAAUAGAGGUUCCAUUUGAGCUCCUAUUUUUCCUGCACUUUAAGGAAAGCACAAAGAACUCCAGGCAUUCUCACCUUUGUUGGAAUUUUAUCGAGAGGACUUCUUGAAGUCAGGAAGGGUCAAUGCACCAUGUUCUAUACCAUUCAGAGGACUAUGCACAGAGAUUAGUCAAUAUGUUUUCUCCUUUACUCCAUAUCUGCUUUCAAUCACCACCUCUGUUUUUAACAUGGAAAAUUUUUUGUCUGGCCUUAGAAAAGAAG